GGGGGAUUAACUCAGCCGGUUAGAGUGCCAUCGUCACAAGGUGGAAGUCGCAGGUUCGAAUCCCGUAUCCCCCACCA
rnacentral:tRNA from 1 species